GAUGAACGCUGGCGGCGUGCCUAAUACAUGCAAGUCGAGCGAAUGGAUUAAGAGCUUGCUCUUAUGAAGUUAGCGGCGGACGGGUGAGUAACACGUGGGUAACCUGCCCAUAAGACUGGGAUAACUCCGGGAAACCGGGGCUAAUACCGGAUAACAUUUUGAACCGCAUGGUUCGAAAUUGAAAGGCGGCUUCGGCUGUCACUUAUGGAUGGACCCGCGUCGCAUUAGCUAGUUGGUGAGGUAACGGCUCACCAAGGCAACGAUGCGUAGCCGACCUGAGGGGGUGAUCGGCCACACUGGGACUGAGACACGGCCCAGACUCCUACGGGAGGCAGCAGUAGGGAAUCUUCCGCAAUGGACGAAAGUCUGACGGAGCAACGCCGCGUGAGUGAUGAAGGCUUUCGGGUCGUAAACUUUGUUGUUAGGGAAGAACAAGUGCUAGUUGAAUAAGCUGGCACCUUGACGGUACCUAACCAGAAAGCCACGGCUAACUACGUGCCAGCCGCCGCCGUAA
rnacentral:rRNA from 1 species